CAGCACCUCAAGUGGUCAGGAUGAUUAUUAGGCCUAAAGCAUCCGUAGCCGGCGCUGUAAGUUUUCGGUUAAAUCUGUACGCUCAACGUACAGGCUGCCGGGAAUACUGCAGCGCUAGGGAGUGGGAGAGGUAGACGGUACUCGGUAGGAAGGGGUAAAAUCCUUUGAUCUAUUGAUGACCACCUGUGGCGAAGGCGGUCUACCAGAACACGUCCGACGGUGAGGGAUGAAAGCUGGGGGAGCAAACCGGAUUAGAUACCCGAGUAGUCC
rnacentral:rRNA from 1 species